GGAUUAACGCUGGCGGUGUGCCUAAUACAUGCAAGUCGAGCGAUCUAAAUUAAUACUUUGGAGAGCGGCGAACGGGUGAGUAACACGUUGGUAACUCGCCUCGAAGUGGGGAAUACCUCCGCGAAAGCGGAGUUAAUACCGCAUAAUAAUGGGGGGUCGAAAGACAUUCCCAUUUAAAGUCGCAAGACGCUUCGAGAGAGGCCUGCGGCCCAUCAGCUUGUUGGUGAGGUAAUAGCUUACCAAGGCUACGACGGGUAGAUGGUGUGAGAGCACGACCAUCCACAGUGGGACUGAGACACGGCCCACACUCCUACGGGAGGCAGCAGUAGGGAAUUUUCCGCAAUGGGCGAAAGCCUGACGGAGCAACACCGCGUGAGGGAUGACGGUUCUCGGAUCGUAAACCUCUUUUCUGAGAGAACAAUAUGAGUGUAUCUCAGGAAUCAGCCCCGGCUAACUACGUGCCAGCAGCCGCGGUAAUACGUAGGGGGCAAGCGUUAUCCGGAAUCACUGGGCGUAAAGUGUCCGCAGGUGGGAAAAUAAGUCAAAUAUUAAAUUUUGGUGCUUAACAUCAGAGCUGUAUUUGAAACUAUUUUUCUAGAGGGUGGGAAAGGCAAGUAGAAUUCCCGGUGUAGGGGUAAAAUCCGUAGAUAUCGGGAGGAAUACCAAAAGCGAAGGCAGCUUGCUAGAACAUUUCUGACACUCAUGGACGAAAGCGUGGGGAGCGAAAAGGAUUAGAUACCCUUGUAGUCCACGCCCUAAACGAUGAGAACUCGGUGUAGGAGGAGUCGAUCCUUCCUGUGCCUUAGCUAACGCGUUAAGUUCUCCGCCUGAGUAGUACGGUCGCAAGACUAAAACUCAAAGGAAUAGACGGGGACCCACACAAGCGGUGGAGCAUGUGGUUUAAUUCGACAGUAAACGAAAAACCUUACCAGGUCUUGACAUCUCGAGAAUCCCUUAGAAAUAAGGGAGUGCCGCAAGGAGCUCGAAGACAGGUGCUGCAUGGUUGUCGUCAGCUCGAGCCGUGAGGUGUACGGUUAAGUCCGCGAUCGAGCGCAACCCUCGCUCUUAGUUAUAUAUUUCUAAGAGGACUGCCUUGCCAUAAGCAGGAGGAAGGUGGGGAUGACGUCAAAUCAGCAUGGCCCUUAUGGUCUGGGCUACACACAUGCUACAAUGGCCAGUACAAAGAGAAGCAAAGGAGCAAUCUGGAGCGAAUCUCUAAAACUGGUCUCAGUUCGGAUUGAAGGCUGCAACUCGCCUUCACGAAGUUGGAAUCGCUAGUAACCGUGAAUCAGCUAUGUCACGGUGAAUAUGUUCCUGGGUC
rnacentral:rRNA from 1 species